rnacentral:rRNA from 1 species
AACGAACGCUGGCGGCAGGCUUAACACAUGCAAGUCGAGCGCCCCGCAAGGGGAGCGGCAGACGGGUGAGUAACGCGUGGGAAUCUACCCAUCUCUACGGAAUAACGCAUGGAAACGUGUGCUAAUACCGUAUACGUCCUUCGGGAGAAAGAUUUAUCGGAGAUGGAUGAGCCCGCGUUGGAUUAGCUAGUUGGUGGGGUAAAGGCCUACCAAGGCGACGAUCCAUAGCUGGUCUGAGAGGAUGAUCAGCCACACUGGGGCUGAGACACGGCCCAGACUCCUACGGGAGGCAGCAGUGGGGAAUAUUGGACAAUGGGCGCAAGCCUGAUCCAGCCAUGCCGCGUGAGUGAUGAAGGCCCUAGGGUUGUAAAGCUCUUUUGUGCGGGAAGAUAAUGACGGUACCGCAAGAAUAAGCCCCGGCUAACUUCGUGCCAGCCGCCGCGGUAAAAC